GAUGAACGCUGGCGGCGUGCCUAAUACAUGCAAGUCGAGCGAACGGACGAGAAGCUUGCUCCUCUGAUGUUAGCGGCGGACGGGUGAGUAACACGUGGAUAACCUACCUAUAAGACUGGGAUAACUUCGGGAAACCGUAGCUAAUACCGGAUAAUAUAUUGAACCGCAUGGUUCAAAAGUGAAAGACGGUUUUGCUGUCACUUAUAGAUGGAUCCGCGCUGCAUUAGCUAGUUGGUAAGGUAACGGCUUACCAAGGCAACGAUGCAUAGCCGACCUGAGAGGGUGAUCGGCCACACUGGAACUGAGACACGGUCCAGACUCCUACGGGAGGCAGCAGUAGGGAAUCUUCCGCAAUGGGCGAAAGCCUGACGGAGCAACGCCGCGUGAGUGAUGAAGGUCUUCGGAUCGUAAAACUCUGUUAUUAGGGAAGAACAUAUGUGUAAGUAACUAUGCACAUCUUGACGGUACCUAAUCAGAAAGCCACGGCUAACUACGUG
rnacentral:rRNA from 1 species